AUUUAUAAAACUAAAAUAACCAAUAUCCGGACGGACGCAAGCUCUAGUUGUUGAUUAUGUUCACGGAGGAGACAAGGGUUUUACACAGUAGACGGGUUACUUACAUAUAUUGAAGUUCGCCAAGCUAGUAUAUGUAUUCACAUGCCAUGUUGCAGUCGGAAAUACAGUACGAAAAAGCAUUUAUCUGGAUUGUUCACUAUCUUAAUGAUUUACUCUAUUUGUUAUAACGUCAAUUUGUUUUAUUGCUUUAAUAAAAAUUGCCAAACGCAAACCCCCAAAUUGCCCACUAUUUUGUGUUCCUUGCAAUUAUCCCCUAAACUAAUUGGCUAGUACGUACCCCCAUGCUUAUUUCACCUAGUAGAAGUUAAUGGAUGAUUAAAUAAUUACUUAUGUGGUUGUAGUUGAUAUUAUAUAUAUAUAGUUAAUGUUUAUAUGCCUAACUGGACUAAUUUCAAUUAUGCAUGAUUAUGCAAGUAUGAAUUAACGUCUUAGCUAUUGAUCCACUACACCAAAACAGUAAUGACCAAAAAUGUCUGAAAGUAAUUAUUUAAAUCAGACAAUAGAGUAUCAGUAAUGUUUCUACGCAGAUCAAUAUAUAAUUUCAAAGAAGUUAUU
rnacentral:lncRNA from 1 species